GUAAAAGUACACUUAGUAAGGUCAUUGAAAAGACUGGUAGCUCUAUGCCUAUUUUAGCAAGAUAUGUUGAUGAAAAUGAAAUUACACCACUUACUGCAGGUAUUGUUCCCAUUAACCUUAAAAGGCACCAUCAGCUUCAAAAUAUUGUUCUUCAUGACUUUGCUGGCCAAUCGCAAUACUAUUUAAGUCACACCGCUGUUAUUGAGAAUAUCCUACAAGGAUCUGCUGCUGUUUUCAUCAUUGUAGUUGACGUGUCCAACAGUGACUAUUUGAUACACCUUAAGCAAUGGCUAUCAGUUGUUAGGAAUGAAAUACAAAAAGCAAAAGAUGAUUGCAAAGUAAUUGUAGUUGCAAGCCAUGUUGAUUGUUUAAAUACUGAAGAAGAGAGAGGAAUGAUUAGACGAAAAAUUAAAAAGGAGUUGCUUAGAAAUGACGAUGUUAUUGUAUAUUUAGAUUGCCGUAGGCUUAAUGGUGCCGACAUAAAUUCAUUUCUCAAAAAUUUACAAAGUGCCUGUAGCUAUAUUCGUGAUAAUAAUAAAAAAUCGUUAACAUUGUAUUGCCACAUGAUGUACAAAUUACUUCAAGAAAAUGAAAAAGAUAUCUUAGCUUUAAAUGACAUCGCUCAUGAUGCAGCAACAAAAGUCGGUGAAUGUUUUCUUCCCACUCAUGAUGGUAAACAGAUCCUAUCUAUAUUGUCUUCAUUGCAUUCAACUGGUUUAAUUUACUAUCUCAAUUGUGAAGAUGACAACGAAGAAGUAUGGACAUCUGAUUCCAGUUGCAUUAAAACUCGUCAUAGCGGCAGGAUGUGGGUUGUUAAAAACAAGGAAGUACUAUUGAAACAUGUAGAUGGUGUCCUUUUUUCACCAUUUGAAGGAAGUAAAAUUCCUAAUAAUGGCAUCAUUACUGUUUCCAAACUUGAAAAAAUGUUCCCAGACUAUGAUUCUGUAAUGCUAAUUAGUUUCUUGGAAAGCAUGGGGCUAUGCCAUAUGGUUUCACCAUUUUUUUUGAUACAGACAAAUCUUGUGGAAAAAGGUCAAGAUAUUGGUCUAAAAGACAUACUUUGUCUUUUUUUUCCAUCAUCUGUGACCAUAGAAAGACCAAUUAUACCUCAUGAGUUUGUAUUUGGGUGGUACCUAAAAUGUACAAAUCUUCAUGAUUUAUUUCCACAACGGUUCUUCAAUUCUCUAUUAUUGCACUUUUCCAUGAAAUAUGCAGUUGAAGAAGCUUCCAGAACUAGACACAGUAAAUUUCAGUGUUUAUUUUGAAAGAACGGCAUAAAAUGGACUGAUAGCAAUGGCAUCACUACGUUGCUAGAACUUCUUGAUGAAAAUCAAUGUGUUUUAGUUUUAAUGUCAUGUGAAAAGGGGGCAAAAGAAUCUAAGAUGAUUAUGUUGAGAAGACGAUUGAUUGGCGAUGUUUUGGCUAUUCGUGGAAAAUUUUGUCCUACUCUUAAUACAGAAGCCUUUGUCAUUGAUCCUGAUAAUUUGAAAUACCCUAUUGAUAAACCAAGAACAAGAGUAGCGUAUUUUGUCGAAAACUUUAUAAAAUUGGGGAAACAGGAUUUCAUCAACCCAACACCAGAAACAUCAGAAUCACGUGGAAAGCAAGUUUGUGAUGUGCUGCCCAAUAAACCAAAUUAUGCUAAUCUUUCAAUAUUUGGUGGGGCUGAUCCAAAUGACAAGGCAGGGGCUAGAGGAAAUUUUCGUUAUCCAGGAAUAGCAUCUCAUAAUGUAAGAGGAGAGAAAAAAAGAGAACUGAACCUUAAAGAUUUGAAUUAUGUUAUUGACACACUGAAGCAAAAUCAUUUCCCUGAUCGUGACUG
rnacentral:misc_RNA from 1 species